rnacentral:rRNA from 1 species
AUUGAACGCUGGCGGCAUGCCUUACACAUGCAAGUCGAACGGCAGCGGGGGAGAAGCUUGCUUUUCCUGCCGGCGAGUGGCGAACGGGUGAGUAAUACAUCGGAACGUGCCCUGUAGUGGGGAUAACUAGUCGAAAGAUUAGCUAAUACCGCAUACGACCUGAGGGUGAAAGUGGGGGACCGCAAGGCCUCAUGCUAUAGGAGCGGCCGAUGUCUGAUUAGCUAGUUGGUGGGGUAAAGGCCUACCAAGGCGACGAUCAGUAGCUGGUCUGAGAGGACGGUCAGCCACACUGGGACUGAGACACGGCCCAGACUCCUACGGGAGGCAGCAGUGGGGAAUUUUGGACAAUGGGCGAAAGCCUGAUCCAGCAAUGCCGCGUGUGUGAAGAAGGCCUUCGGGUUGUAAAGCACUUUUGUCCGGAAAGAAAUGGCUCUGGUUAAUACCUGGGGUCGAUGACGGUACCGGAAGAAUAAGGACCGGCUAACUACGUGCCAGCCGCCGCAGUAA